GAUUCUGGCUCAGGAUGAACGCUAGCUACAGGCUUAACACAUGCAAGUCGAGGGGCAGCAUGGUCUUAGCUUGCUAAGGCCGAUGGCGACCGGCGCACGGGUGAGUAACGCGUAUCCAACCUUCCCCUUAGUAGGGCAUAGCCCGUAGAAAUGCGGAUUAAUACCCUAUAUUGUCAGUAGAGGACAUCUGAAGUUGACCAAAGGUUCACCGCUAAGGGAUGGGGAUGCGUCCGAUUAGGCAGUCGGCGGGGUAACGGCCCACCGAGCCGUCGAUCGGUAGGGGUUCUGAGAGGAAGGUCCCCCACACUGGUACUGAGACACGGACCAGACUCCUACGGGAGGCAGCAGUGAGGAAUAUUGGUCAAUGGGCGCAAGCCUGAACCAGCCAAGUAGCGUGCCAGGACGACGGCCCUACGGGUUGUAAACUGCUUUUAUGCGGGGAUAACCGGCGCCACGCGUGGCGCCCUGCAGGUACCGCAUGAAUAAGGACCGGCUAAUUCCGUGCCAGCCGCAGC
rnacentral:rRNA from 1 species